CUGUUUUAUUCCAUUGCUGGGCACAAGCCUCUUUCCCCAGUAGGAGAAGGAUCAGAGCUUAAUCCACCACACUACUCCAAUACGGGUUGGCGGAUAUAUGACAACCAUGAGUAACG